rnacentral:rRNA from 1 species
UGGGGUUCUACGAAACCUAAAGGCGCAAUGAAAGUGAAGGCCGCCUCCGGCUGGCCUAGGUAGGAUCCGUCGACCCGUCGGCGGCGCACUACCGGCCCGUUCCGUCAGCAGCGUCUGUGGAGCGGAGCAAGAGCGUACACGUUGGGACCCGAAAGAUGGUGAACUAUGCCUGAGUAGGAUGAAGCCAGAGGAAACUCUGGUGGAGGUCCGUAGCGAUUCUGACGUGCAAAUCGAUCGUCAAACUUGGGUAUAGGGGCGAAAGACUAAUCGAACCAUCUAGUAGCUGGUUCCCUCCGAAGUUUCCCUCAGGAUAGCUGGCACUUAUACGCAGUUUUAUCCGGUAAAGCGAAUGAUUAGAGGCCUUGGGGACGAAACGACCUCAACCUAUUCUCAAACUUUAAAUGGGUAAGAAGUCCGUCUCGCUCGAAUGGAGUCGGACAUCGAAUGCGAGUGCCCAGUGGGCCACUUUUGGUAAGCAGAACUGGCGCUGUGG